CCUACGGGAGGCAGCAGUGAGGAAUAUUGGUCAAUGGACGAGAGUCUGAACCAGCCAAGUAGCGUGAAGGAUGACUGCCCUAUGGGUUGUAAGCUUCUUUUAUAUGGGAAUAAAAUGUUCCACGUGUGGGAUUUUGUAUGUACCAUAUGAAUAAGGAUCGGCUAACUCCGUGCCAGCAGCCGCGGUAAUACGGAGGAUCCGAGCGUUAUCCGGAUUUAUUGGGUUUAAAGGGAGCGUAGGUGGAUGGUUAAGUCAGUUGUGAAAGUUUGCGGCUCAUCCGUAAAAUUGCAGUUGAUACUGGCAGUCUUGAGUACAGUAGAGGGGGGUGGAAUUCGUGGUGUAGCGGUGAAAUGCUUAGAGAUCACGAAGAACUCCGAUGGCGAAGGCAGCUCACUGGACUGAAACUGACACUGAGGCGCGAAAGUGUGGGUAGCAAACAGGAUUAGAUACCCCAGUAGUC
rnacentral:rRNA from 1 species